rnacentral:sRNA from 1 species
CCCAUGGUCGCCGCGCCCCGCUUGGUUUUGACUGUAGGAGAGGAGGGGUCAGAUGUUAGUGAUCAGCAGUGUCCACGACGCGCAGCCUCUGCUGCCCCACUUUGCAGCCGUCCACCCCGAGAUUAACAGCCCCGAAGCCAUCCGCUGCUUCCCACGUCCCUCGCCGCCUCGCCGUCCCCAAAACCUCCCCUCCUCCCCCGCUGGUGCUCACCGGCACCCCUGCCAGCUCCCCUCCGCGGCCUGGAGGACCGCAUAGCCAUAGCUCUGUCUAUUGCUCUGUUCCCAGGUGAGACCUCUCUGAGAUUCACUGAAUGUCCAGCCCUUUGGUUCCAGACCCCACCUCCUUCCGGCUAUCCGCGGACAGCGUGGGAAUCUACCAGGGGUCACAGAUUAGGCCAGGGCUCUGGCACAGUCUGCGCGGUUCCGCAACAAUCAACCACUUGGAGUGACCCUAAAUCUGCAGUGGACGCCUGGCAUCUGGUGACAACUAUUAUUUCGGCGUGCAUAUAUGAGCACCACCCAUAUGCAAUGCUCUUGGCGGCUAGAAGAGGGCAUCAGAUCCCUUGGCAUUGGAGUUAGCAGCCGACGCCUUUGAGUAAACCUCAACCUCAAAGAUUCAAUUCCCGAUUUUUGCCCAUGCGUCAGGAGUGUGGACCGGUCUGCUUUCAUACUCUUGGUCACCAUGGCAGGACUCUGCCAUAAGUCACUGAAUUAGCUGAGAAUCUCAAGAUUGCUUUGGGGUCCGAGCAGCAGUGAUUUCACGUGGGGACACCCGCUUUCCUGAAUGGAGCACUUUCCGUGGUCUUUAGGACUGGUGCGCUUCUCCAGUUUGGCUCCUGGGUUAAAGCUUGUCUCUUGCUUCUGUUUUUAAAAACGCUGACAGCUCACAGCUGUCUGUAAAGUCUGGUUCCAGGGAUUCAGACACCACGCAUGCCCACAACACAUCAAGACACAUAAAAUACAAGUAAAUCGAUCAUUUAAAAAUACUUAAAAAUGGCUGGGCUGGAGAGAUGGCUCAGCAGUUAA